CCUGUGAAAUAUGGAGACAUGUAAGCCAGAGAAUUUGACUUCAACUGAGGAAGAGAAAAUGGAAUUCUUAGACUGUUGGGUCCUCAAAUCUCUUGAAGAUUAAGCACAUCUCCAACUAAGGCCUCACCAGGCAGACCUUUGCUAUAUAUGUGCCAGGGGCCUAGCACUGACCAGCUUGUGGCUCAGUCUCUGGGAGCUCCCUGGAGUCUUGAAACGAUUUUGGAUCAACAGAUUUGUAGGUUGAUUUGCAGGUUGAGAUUUCAGUUGGUUUCGCCAUCCCUCCACUCGGACAUUCUAUCUAACUACUGAAGCUUCUGAGAUCUAAAAUUUGCUCCUCAUGCUUGAAAGGCAAGCAUUUAUGACUGCGUUGCCACUCCAGCCCCAAUUUGUAUCUUAAAGUUGUAAAAUCUAAUUUUGAAGAAAUCAGAAAGACAUUGUCUACUGAGUAGCUCCCCUCAGGAUGAUUUUUUCCCCCUGCUGGCUCCCUUUUUCUUCAUUAUUUUAAUGGCUACAUCUUUGCUCUGAUGUGUCAAUGGAAGUGGAAAAUCCAGUGAAGCCAGAGCUUAGAGAAACGCCAGCUGGAACAGAAGGAUAAAGUUUCUUUGGAGAAGCUUCAAAGAGAUGCGGGCUGGGUGAUUGAAAACUUGUUGCUCUUCAGGAUCAUAUCAUGACAUCUAAGCUACAUAGAAGGUAGGAGGAACAGAAACGAGGGAAAACACAAAGAACAACUAUCUCUCAGCUGGAGAAUGAUUUUUCUCUGUGACUUUGAGCAAACUUCUGUAUUUCCUUUUAUUCUUGGUAUUUAAAAUUGGAAUUAAACUCCU
rnacentral:sRNA from 1 species